AGAGUUUGAUCCUGGCUCAGGAUGAACGCUGGCGGCGUGCUUAACACAUGCAAGUCGAGCGAAGCACUUAAGUUUGAUUCUUCGGAUGAAGACUUUUGUGACUGAGCGGCGGACGGGUGAGUAACGCGUGGGUAACCUGCCUCAUACAGGGGGAUAACAGUUAGAAAUGACUGCUAAUACCGCAUAAGACCACAGUAUCGCAUGAUCCGGUGGUAAAAACUCCGGUGGUAUGAGAUGGACCCGCGUCUGAUUAGCUAGUUGGUGGGGUAACGGCUCACCAAGGCGACGAUCAGUAGCCGACCUGAGAGGGUGACCGGCCACAUUGGGACUGAGACACGGCCCAAACUCCUAAGGGAGGCAGCAGUGGGGAAUAUUGCACAAUGGGCGAAAGCCUGAUGCAGCGACGCCGCGUGAAGGAUGAAGUAUUUCGGUAUGUAAACUUCUAUCAGCAGGGAAGAAAAUGACGGUACCUGACUAAGAAGCCCCGGCUAACUACGUGCCAGCAGCCGCGGUAAUACGUAGGGGGCAAGCGUUAUCCGGAUUUACUGGGUGUAAAGGGAGCGUAGACGGCAUGGCAAGUCUGAAGUGAAAGCCCGGGGCUCAACCCCGGGACUGCUUUGGAAACUGUCAGGCUAGAGUGCUGGAGAGGUAAGUGGAAUUCCUAGUGUAGCGGUGAAAUGCGUAGAUAUUAGGAGGAACACCAGUGGCGAAGGCGGCUUACUGGACAGUAACUGACGUUGAGGCUCGAAAGCGUGGGGAGCAAACAGGAUAAGAUACCCUGGUAGUCCACGCCGUAAACGAU
rnacentral:rRNA from 1 species